GGCUCAGGUGGGACCACC
rnacentral:rRNA from 2 species